rnacentral:tRNA from 1 species
UCUCAUAUGGUGUAGGGGUUUAGCAUCGCUCGUUUUCAAAUAGUUUGACUAUUGAUCCGUGCAGACCGGGGUUCGAAUCCCCGUAUGAGAG